UUAUCUGUAUUGAGCAAAUUUGGUUCUCCACGUCCACGUAGUAUCCACAUACGGCCUCAGUAAAGAAGGCGGCCUUGACAUGGUCGAUUUAAGAAGGGCCGGUCUCAGUCAAUAAACGGACCAAGUGAUGCAACUCACCGUAAUGUCACAUCGAGCUCUGACACUCGUAUAUCGAGGCCACCAACCCUUGUACUUUUUUAUAUUAUUUCGAGUGUUAGAUUUAUAUAAAACUCUCUCUAUCUGACUCUCUCUCUCUCUCUCUCUCUCUCUCUAGUGUAAAAUCUGCUAUUUGUCUCGUUGUUCUUAUAUCUUUGUCAUUUCACAAUCUCUAGACCAUAUUACA
rnacentral:lncRNA from 1 species